rnacentral:rRNA from 1 species
GACGAACGCUGGCGGCGUGCUUAACACAUGCAAGUCGAACGGAAAGGCCCUGCUUUUGUGGGGUUCUCGAGUGGCGAACGGGUGAGUAACACGUGAGUAACCUGCCCUUGACUUUGGGAUAACUUCAGGAAACUGGGGCUAAUACCGGAUAGCAGCUCCUGCUUCAUGGUGGGGGUUGGAAAGUUUCGGCGGUUGGUGAUGGACUCGCGGCUUAUCAGCUUGUUGGUGGGGUAGUGGCUUACCAAGGCUUUGACGGGUAGCCGGCCUGAGAGGGUGACCGGCCACAUUGGGACUGAGAUACGGCCCAGACUCCUACGGGAGGCAGCAGUGGGGAAUAUUGCACAAUGGGCGGAAGCCUGAUGCAGCAACGCCGCGUGCGGGAUGACGGCCUUCGGGUUGUAAACCGCUUUCGCCUGUGACGAAGCGUGAGUGACGGUAAUGGGUAAAGAAGCACCGGCUAACUACGUG